GACGAACGCUGGCGGCGUGCCUAAUACAUGCAAGUAGAACGCACAGUUUAUACCGUAGCUUGCUACACCAUAGACUGUGAGUUGCGAACGGGUGAGUAACGCGUAGGUAACCUGCCUGGUAGCGGGGGAUAACUAUUGGAAACGAUAGCUAAUACCGCAUAAUAUUAAUUAUUGCAUGAUAAUUAAUUGAAAGGUGCAAUUGCACCACUACCAGAUGGACCUGCGUUGUAUUAGCUAGUAGGUGAGGUAACGGCUCACCUAGGCGACGAUACAUAGCCGACCUGAGAGGGUGAUCGGCCACACUGGGACUGAGACACGGCCCAGACUCCUACGGGAGGCAGCAGUAGGGAAUCUUCGGCAAUGGACGAAAGUCUGACCGUGCAACGCCGCGUGAGUGAAGAAGGUUUUCGGAUCGUAAAGCUCUGUUGUAAGAGAAGAACGGGUGUGAGAGUGGAAAGUUCACACUGUGACGGUAUCUUACCAGAAAGGGACGGCUAACUACGUG
rnacentral:rRNA from 1 species